UGGGGAAUUUUGGACAAUGGGCGAAAGCCUGAUCCAGCAAUGCCGCGUGUGUGAAGAAGGCCUUCGGGUUGUAAAGCACUUUUGUCCGGAAAGAAAUCCUUGGCUCUAAUACAGUCGGGGGAUGACGGUACCGGAAGAAUAAGCACCGGCUAACUACGUGCCAGCAGCCGCGGUAAUACGUAGGGUGCAAGCGUUAAUCGGAAUUACUGGGCGUAAAGCGUGCGCAGGCGGUUUGCUAAGACCGAUGUGAAAUCCCCGGGCUCAACCUGGGAACUGCAUUGGUGACUGGCAGGCUAGAGUAUGGCAGAGGGGGGUAGAAUUCCACGUGUAGCAGUGAAAUGCGUAGAGAUGUGGAGGAAUACCGAUGGCGAAGGCAGCCCCCUGGGCCAAUACUGACGCUCAUGCACGAAAGCGUGGGGAGCAAACAGGAUUAGAUACCCUGGUAGUCCACGCCCUAAACGAUGUCAACUAGUUGUGGGGAUUCAUUCCUUAGUAACGUAGCUAACGCGUGAAGUUGACCGCCUGGGGAGUACGGUCGCAAGAUUAAACUCAAAGGAAUUGACGGGGUCAUAGCUGUUUCCU
rnacentral:rRNA from 1 species